GACCAUAGAAGACAGCGCGCUAGCGUAUCUAGUCUUCUAUAUAUAUCUAUGGUCCGCACGUCUGGCAGCAUCUGUGGCUGCUGUUGACUUUGUUUUUGGAGUAAAACACGGUGGAAGCUGAAUUAGUGAGGAUGACUCCUGCUCCUGUCAUCUCUAAGCUCCUCACACAUCUUUACCUGCACAUGAGGAAAAUCACUCCUGUAGAAUGCAGAUGUUCAUAGGGAGAUGAUGCCACAUCUGGUCCAGCUGAUGGAAGGUCUUGAAGUUCUCUGACUGGCCUCGACUGAAGAUGGUCGUCUCACUGGAUUUAAGAUGCACAAUGAGGGACGUCUGCAGAGACUGAGAAAGAGUCUCACCACAUCCUGACAUGAGGAAAAAGACUUUAUUGAAGACUACAAUGAGAAAAACUAUCAGACAGCAGACGGCUGCAUUCAAGUUUAGGCUGUUAGAUUGUUCCAGAUAAGACGAGUACAAGAUUCUUCAGAGCCGUUCUACCAUGAGCCUGACAGGAAGAACUCCAACAGCUACUGAAUGUUCCUGUGGUUCCCUCAAGGCUACAGGAGGAGUCCUACGAGGACGAGCCGGUCCACCUGAUGGCGGCCAGUCGCUGCGGUUCAAAGCCAACACCGACUACGUGGACUUCUACUGGACCACACGGAGGCCUUCAAACCGGACCAACAAGUUCAG
ensembl:lncRNA